AAUGAACGCUGGCGGCAUGCCUAACACAUGCAAGUCGAACGAAAGCUUCGUCCUUUGUUGCGCUCGGGGGCGGAACGCGUGGGAAGCUGCCCGUUGGUACCGAAUACUAGUUAUUAGUGACUGCUAAUGCCGGAUGAUUUCGUAAGUCAAAGGAUUUAUCGCUGAGGGAUGAGCCCGUGUAGGUUUCGCCUGUUGGUGUUGUAAGAGCGCACCAAGGCGACGAUCCUUAGCUGGUCUGAGAGCAUGAUCAGCCACACUGGAGCUGAGACACGGCCGAGAAUCCUACGGGAGGGAGCAGAGGGGUAUACUAGACAAUGGGCGAAGGUGUGAUACAGCAACGCGGGGUAAGUCAUGAUGGUCGUAGGGUAGUAAAGCCCUUUUAACCGGGAUGUGAAUGACAGUACCGGGAGAAUAAGCUCCGGCUAACUCCGUG
rnacentral:rRNA from 1 species